CGCUGUGCUGCUCGGCCGCGCUGCGGUACCGACCCGGUCCGGCGACCGGCCCCGCUCCACGGCGGGCAGCCCGAUAGGCACAGGGAGCGAGGACCGGGAGCUGGAUGGCGGUGUGGAGGCCUGAGGCGAAGGCUAAGCCUGCCCCUCCCCGGGCCGCCUUCAGCGAGCUUCGGCGCGGGUCUCCGCGUUGAGAGAAGUGAUGAGUCAGGUUUGCUCGGCUCCAUGCUAAUGCACGGAGAUGGAGGGUGUAAUUAGUAGAGAGGCAGGGCUGUGAUCUGCAGCGCGGGGCGGCCGGGCCACGCACCUCCUCUGUGCUUCAGAGCGUCGCUGAAGUUCUCCUUGUUUCGUGCUCCUCCAGCCCCAACGGUGUAUAUGCAGGGUUUGGUGGGAGCAGAGCCACAGACGUCGGAAGGUGUCUGUGUGUGAAGCACCCCGCGUUAUGUAAUUCUGAUGUUGAAAGAUGACGGUAAGAAGGAUUUGAUUUAGUCAUGGAAACUGAAUAUUGCGGCUCCCCAAAUCUCUAAGAAGUCUUAGGAUGUUGCAUACAGCGUUCUCAAGGUUUCUCCCGUCCAAGUAAUUGUAAAUGGCCCGCUUGAGAGCUGUGAUCUGCUUUAUAUGCUUUCAUCCAUUAGAAUACCUCUUGUCUUUGCAAAACGACACAUUGUGUAAUUUAGGCAACUGGCUGGGCUAAGAAGGGCACAAUGAAGUGAGUAAUUUACAUCUCUUAGGGAGAUUAAUUGAACCCAGCUCUGGUCGUCUUCAAGAACUACUGAGAAGUUUCUCGGCAAACUUCUCCACCCGAAGUAAAAUCACAGCCUCCGCCACCUUGCCCCUUCCAGCAGCUUCUGAAGGAAUCUUCACCUCAAACAGAGCUGUCAGCAGCAGUGAGGGCUGCCACUCACCAGUCAUUUCAAUGCGGAAAGCACUCGAGACACAGCAACAGGCAACAGAACGCAGCGCUCACAGAGAAACAAAUGUAAGAGGUUUUUAUUCCCCAAGCAGUACGGUAGAAAUGGCAUCCUAAUGCUUGCUGGAGUGCAGAUAGUUGCUGUGCCAUGUUUGCAUCCCACAUGCCGCAGCAUGGUACUAUUAGCACUAAAGAGACAGCGGGAAGCCAGACAGGUUAGUUUCCAUCAGCUAAUCUGAACGUAAUGCUAAAAUGUAAGUAAACAACAUGAAUGAUGUAAAUGGCUUUUUAUUUAUUGCUGAGGUCUAUGAUAUUAUCUGAAAUGAGAAGCUUUAAAACAAGCAGUAGAGGAUCAGGGUUAUUAUAGCCACAAGCAGCAGCUGACUCUAUAGCACAAGAUCCAUUGGAGUAAUUUGCUGUGAAAGGGCCUGGUUCAGAACUCAAACCUGUUGGUAAGGACAGGAGCAGGCAAGUUUGAAACACAAGUAAGAUAAUGGUUUUGAUUGGGUUAAUAUUUAACACUGAGUACUGGCAAAAACUCAGAUUUCUUUAAUAGCAUUCAUUUAUUUUAUUUUGACAGUGACAAGUACCCACGACUGGACAUCCUCAGAAACACGGUUGUGUCCUGUUCCUCUCCACUGCAGUUAUUCCCACUCAGAGUGACCACUUCAGAGCUUUAACAAAGCCCAUUACAAACGGGAACAUUUUCCGUUAGCCAAUUCCUGUCCAGUUACUGAAUGGUAAAGGAAAGCAGAAUCCUGAAGUUAUGAGGUAAUUAAGUUACCAGCAGCCUGGCACCUUGACCUGCCCAGAAAUCUUAAGGUGGUGGUGAAUUCUACAAACACAAUCGGUCUUCUCUGCUGAGGUCACCCAAAGAGGCUGCCAGUUAUUGCCAUGCAUGGGAAAGGGGGAGAAUUUUUUUCUUGAUGGCAUGUACCACAGUGGCUUGAGACCAUCACAUCCUUCCAGACAGAUCACUGACCUGCCAAGUCGGAUUUGCUUAAGUGGUUACCGGUUUCAGCAGAAUUUUAUCAUUGGUGAUUGAAAAUUUUGUGAAGUUUUACAACCAAAGAGUAAUACUAAUUAAUAACAGAGGAACACGCUUCCAAAGGAAAGUAGGGUUUUCUCUGCCUUCUUAAGUAUUCGGGUGCAUUCUUGAGAGACAUAUUACAGCCAGGCAUGGGUUCUGUGCUCACUGUAGGAGUAACCGAAUGAGAUGCGAAAGCCAGAGUUCACCUAAUGCUUUAUGCAGCCUUUGAGCUGGUUCAAAUCAAUCAGCUAAGAGAUGUAGCCCAUCAAAACACCAAGCUGUCUUCACCCCUGGUAAUGAGCACCUACACCAUGGUGGGAUGCCAGAUUUGAACUCACUUUGUGGCUGUGAAAUUUCUGCCUGGACUUUCCUAAUGAGCAAGUAGAGAGCGGUACGGUGCAUCUCCACUGCCUUCCAGAAAGCACUGCACCCAACAGCCAUCAGCUGAAAACCAAUCUGUCCACGCAAGCUAAGUCGGAAGAUGCUGCGUAGAUGGGCUGUGUCCUGGAAAAUUCCACCUGGCCGUGGUGUGCAUGCAGAUGCUACUGGAGUGCUCAGUAGGUCCACAUCUGUUCUUCCUGUGAUGCAAACCUGCUGUAGAAGGGCACAGUUCUUUCACUCUCCAUACAUAAGUACAAAAGCUUGAUGCUUCCUGAAAAGGUCGGAUUGAGAAGAUCAGUGCUGUAAAACUGAACUAGUUAUGCAGUGGAUGUGUUUGCAAUUCAAAGACCUCCAGCAGCUCAGAGAGAAAGGAAAGGAUGAGGCAGCUGCCACGCAAUAACUCAGACUGGACUGCUACAAGACUAGAGAUUUCAUAAGAAAUUAAAAGAUCCUCAAAUUUUGUUCAUUAAAAACAAAGCAAAACAAAACAAAACAAAAACCCUUCAGAAGCAGGAGAAGGGGAUAUGUGAGCACCUAACUAGAGACUUACCCACUCUCCCCAUCUGACUGCCACUCUAAAGCCCUGUGCAAGUGUCAGAUGGGUGACUGACAUGCUACAUGCCUUUCAUUUCUUGAGUCUAUGAAUCAUUCAGCAGAGCCAUAUGAAACAUGGAUAGAUAGGAAAAUUGAUAUGGUUUCUCAAAGGUCAGAAAAGCCAGCACAUUACCAGCAUGUCAAACAAGUGACAGUCCUGCAUUCAUUAUCACCAGGCUUGGUGCACCAUUUUAGCAUUGUUUGCACAGGACUUUUAUUGCGUUCUUUGAGGAAGGAAGGGCAGCAGAUAAAGUUUGUGCCCUGACACUACAAAAUGACUUCCCAUCCUCAAAAUUACACACGCAAAUUUGCAAAAUGAGUGUUCAGAUAAUUACAUGAGAAGGCAAGAUGUCAGAGUUUGUGGAAUUCUUCCUCGAGGGUGGGGGCACACACUUUUUCAUUAGCAGCAUUUAAACCCUGACUAGAUAAAGCACUCUUAAAUUAUGUUUAUCGUAUGAAACAAUUACAGCCUGGCCAGGAGAACUGAACUUGCCAACUCAAUAGGCUUUUUAAAUAUCUAAUUUCUUGGACAAAUACGUAAUUCUAAAAAACAUUACAUCACUACCCAACCAAGAAAUCCUUUCUCUCUCUGUUUUUCUGUGGUUUGCACGAUAAUUUGCUAAAUACAUUUCAGCGUGUUGUUUACUUCAGCUCAGCCUUCUGAGACCACACAGGCCAAUGCUGAGACAGUAAAUAGGGAUCAUCUAGAAAAAAAAAAAAAAAAAAACAGGUUAUGCUUCAAGUUGAGUUGGGAAAUAUUCAAGUUCACUUUGGAAGUAUUUUGGGCCAUACAAUUUUGGGGGGGUGAUACACUGGGGAAAUGCAUUAAUUGAAAGAAAAUCCAAAAAGCAUGACACAGGUAGCCUUGUUAGUGGUCUUCCUCCUGAUUCAGGAGAAUUAUAAAUGAUCCCCUGUAACGUAUUCUUGUAGAUGUGAAUCCUGUGAACAAAUGCUGGUGAGUCCAGGAUUUGAGGUCUGCACAACAGCUGCUGACUCAUCAGGAUUUUGUCACUUCCCUGAAGAUGUUGCUGAGUGUUGGCUUUGGAUCUCAGGUGUCCCUCAUUAAGAACUGCCUAUUUUGCCUCAAACCCUCUUGUGGCAGCCAGGCUGCUGAGGAGCCAAGAGUUCAAAAGCUGAAGGGCUAAAAAGAGGGCAAGCAAGAGGGAGCUUUGGUUCAGUUGUGUGCCUGGCCAGCCUUUUUUUUUUUUUUUUUUUUUGCACAGAUGUCUUUGUCUUGCUGGAAAAAAAGUUCUCAAGCAGCAGAACUUGUCUGUUCAUAUUUUGCAAAUGAAACACAUGGUACGGCAUGAUGCCAUGUUAAAGAUGGAGCUGAUCAGUGAAAUUAGCUUCCGUUACUCACUGGCAAUGGUAUGGCUUUCAUUAUUUUCACAACAAAUACAAAACUCAGCAGCCUUUAGGAUAUGGCACAUAAUUAAUGUCCAUUUCCCAUUGAAGCCCCCCAAGAUAUGACUCUAAGUACAUUGGAAGAUGAGGCUGAAUUGUAACACAGUUUUAUUCUUUGUUUCUGGACAAAGAAGGCUGAAGUGAUGAAACAUUUGCAUCUGUUUUAAACUUGGCUUAUUUCAUUUUUAAUUUUUUUUUUUUUUAAUCCCACUGCAUUAUUUUUCUGACGGCUACACCCUGAAAAAACAGGUUGUCAGUGCAAGCAGGGUUUUCUCAGAAGGUACCCACAAGAAGCAAUUAGACGUGUGAGCAAAGGCAGUCAGCACAUGGGAUCCUCCCCAGCGAAACAGGCUCAGCGCUGAAGGCUCGUCUGCAUGGCAUGUUUCUUCUUUCAUCGAACACCAGCAAAAUGCCAGGAACAUUCCUGGACAGGAGAAAUCUUGAAUUCUGCAAUUCAGCCUUAAAGAAACACUCCUCUGGGGAACUGCCCAACUGCCUGAUGGAAAUGAGUGACUCCUGUAUGCAGAUCUGCCUUCGAAGACUCUGACCUAUUUCAGCCCAGCUUUGCAGAACACACAAGCUCUAUUUAUGAUGCUGCAGGAAGGGAAAGGCAGGGUGCAAGCAAUGCACCUUGCUCUGCUGGGAAAGAGCUGGCAGCCCCAGCUCCAGCAGUGAAGCCCCGCAUCAGGAGAUGGUGGGACCUGGCUCCUGUUGGGGCAAUGAGUAACAUCAUCACAUCUGACUGAACCUCUGGCAUGUAGACUUGACUACUUACUCUUGCUGCAGAAGCAUUUAUAUUGACACAGAUUCAGGAAGAUGCUGCACAGCAGAAUCAGGGAAACAACUGUUUUAUAAGCAGAGUGAUGCCUUCAUACAGCACAACAGUGUGAUCUGCGAUGGAAAACAUAACAGGACUGUAUUCCACAGCAAGGUCAUGUUUUGAGAAUUUUAUUCGUCCUCAUUUCUAUUAAAGUGUCUUUUUACAGGGAGAAAUAACUUCUUUUAGUUAUGCUGUAUUGCUCUUGAAACUUAACCUUCCUCUAGCUGGGCUCUAUAAAUCACGGAUUUUCUUAUAAACAGAUUACAGAUCCGCUUACAUCUUUGUAUUAUUUGGCUCCUUCAUUUCAGAAACAGUAUGGGCCAUAUUCUCCCCUGGCAUAGCUCCAUUCCCAGUAUUCUUAUUUUGAGGAUGCUGGGCCAGAUUCCUGAUCUCUCUGCUUUGUCAAUGGGCGCUAAGAGCCAUGCUGCUGCGAUCACUGCUGUCACAUAUCAGUAACACCACUCUGCUGCUGAGCAGAACAUAGCCCUCUGCUUAAACAGCACUUUGAUCAAGUGAAAUAAGGAAAAUAUUGCUGAAUGUAGCCUUCAGCAUAUUACUUGUUCUGCUGAAAGAUCAUCCGCUCUUGGCUUAGCUUAUUUCAAGCAUGACAGUCCAGGAAAAAGAGUGUACCUGUGAGUGAAAUAAGACUCAGUGGGAGUCAAUAAGACCCAAAGUAUUGCGGUAUUCAUAAAUGUAUAUUUGUGCUGAAGCAUGCUAAACCUCAAAGGCUGGAUAUAAAUAUCAAUGUCUAUUGAAUUUCAGGAAGAGAUGGCUGGUGGAAAGCAUGCCCGAUGCCGUUCUGCAAUGUGCAACCCUGUUUACACAGGGGCUAUUCAUAGGCACGUUCCUGCUGCUGGGCAGGGAAUUUGCCUCUUCCCAGCCAGCUCAUGCAAAGCAAAUUCUCCUCUAUAGUUCUCAGGCUGGAAAUUUAGCUUCCCUUGAAGUAAAGCAGCAGUGCUGUGCUUCCAUGCAAGCGAUGGGCCAGCUGAAGGUGCGGGACAAGGAGCUGCCCAAAACCUGCCAAAGGACAAAAGCAGCUUCAUAAAGGCAGAGGUCAAAAUGGCACUGAUGUCUCCUUGUGAUCAAAUGCAGGCUGCACUUCUUUAAUCAGAAAAUGUGCCACAGUUGGAAUCCGGCAAAAUGAAUUCUAAGCACGUCCCUUCUGCAGCCAGUUUUCCUUCUGCCCACUGGGACAGUGGAGAGAUGACACAGUUCAGAAGUAAACCCACAGCACGGAUUUGUGAUUCUGUCAGAUUGGAUUCUCCUUCCCCACUCCUGGACUUGCUCUGGAGGUCUCUAGGCUUUAUGAAGCUGUAAUGGACAAGGAGAGCACUGGGGAAUUAAAGCCCACCUGCCUCCUGCUAUCCCCUUUCAGGGCUUUUUGGACUGGUGCUUCCUGGAGCUAGUGAGAUCCAUUCAUGAAAGGUGCUGAAUGGCAAACACAAAAGUCCAGAAAGAGUAGUUGUCUUAGGAGUUAUCGAGAACAGUGCCUACUACUUGACAAGCUGCAGAGAAAGUAAAGCCAGAAAAUGCCCACAUUGAGAACAAAGCUGAUGUGACGACUGAGUGCCUGAGAAUGGCACCAAUGGGAAGAGCUCAGCACGGC
rnacentral:lncRNA from 1 species